GCUCAGUCCCUACGGCCGUCCACCCCUCCACACACUUUCCAUGCCAAACACCAGCCCUAGCUUAUUUUAUCUCUGCUUCACCCAGACCAGCUCUAAAACAAUGUCCCUCUGCCUCCUCUUCCCUUGCCCGAGCCGCGCAUGGAGCUUAAAAUGCUCCGUACACGUACAUACCCGUGCUGCUGGCUCUGAAGGACAUGGGUGGAGACCGAGGCGGGAAGAGGGAGGCACAGGGCGGGGAGAAGCCGCCUGUAGCUUCUCCCAGGCCUCGUUCAGGGCCACCCCCCCCAGGGACCUCUGCUAUCUGCUACAUGGAAGCUCGCUCAACUUGCACGUUUGUUUGCGUGGGGCUGCAUACCACAGAUGUGAGUGAAGAGGGGACGAUUAUGUAGCAGUGUGACUGCAGGGCAGGCACUAGACUAAUACUAGUGGACUGGGAGAAGUCACUCUCCAGCGUUUCUUCUUUGCGGAUACGGUGAAGACCCUGUCUGAAAUAAGGUCUUAUCAUCUACCAACAGACAUGGUAAGUCAAGGUGAGGAAAUGGAGACCCAGAUUAUCUUCAAAGUGGUAAAACUAACGGAAGCUAAAACCAGAAUUUGAACUUAACGAUUUAGCUCCGGAUUCCACACCUUGAGAUGUGGUGACCUGGCUUUCUCAGGGAUGAUGGUGUGUAAAGGAGACUUCUGAGAGCACAUAUCUUGAAAUACACCAUCAGCCUUUCCCCAAGGUGACCUCAAGCCUCAUGCCUGAAUGCCUGCCCAAAGAGGAGGGGCCAUGCCAUUCCUUUUCAGUGCCUCAAGAUAGAACUGGACAUUGUUAGCAGGACAUGUGUACGUGAGCCAGCCUCCUGGUCAGAGAGCAGGUUACCUGGGCCAGGCGAUAAAAACAUUCUAAGGCCCAAAUUCAGAAGCCCACUCGGGUCCUCUUUCCUGGAUCUCCAAGUGCCAGCAUGGAGUGGGUACAUUUUCAGCUGGCAAAACCCUCAUACUGGCUCCUUGAUUUGUGAAGUAACAGCCAUUAAGGGAGAUAAGAAAAAAAAAUCAAAAACCCAAACCAAGUGAAUACCCCUGAAAUUUGUGAUUCCCGAAACUGGGGAUUCAUGCUUUCUUCAAAGAUUUAAGUAUAUGUGUGUGGCGGUUAGCAUGAUAUUCGGGCUUAAUUAAUUUGAAUGUGAGAAAAGCAACAGUCAGCAGGGUCCACAGUCAUAGUCCAGGUAGUAUUAACCUACUAGCUUUCAGUCUCUGCCACAGUGUAGUGCACAGCUCGCUUGACCACCUUCAUAUCAGGCAGAACGUCCCCUCUCUGUGACAUCCUGGGGGCUGGAGCAGAGGCACGUAAAGGACAGCCUUGGGAGACGCCAUGACGCUAAGACACACAAUCGUGAAUACAUGUUUGGUCUUUCUCUCACUCAGGCACAUAGCUCCUAAAGCUCCUGGAAUUUUCCCAGAGUUUUGGGUAUCAAAGAGAAGGAUAGCAUUGUUGUUAUGCAUAAUGAACCCCUUACAAUCCCAUCUGAGUGUACCUCAGCGAGAUGAUUUUGGAAACCCAAGUAACCAAAGAACGGGUCUGGUUGCCAAAGAAACCAAAAGCGUGCCUAGCAGGGCGCAGGACAGGACAGAGCCUUCGUCAUCAGUUCAAUGCCGUGCCCGUCAGGGCUACACAGUGAACCCUCCACAGAGCCCAAAAGGUUGGAGCUGGUGAACAAGGCAGGUAGGCACCCAAACUGGGGGCACACAGAGCCCCUGUGCUCUGGACCCUUCUGGACCUUGUCCUGCGCAUCUCUAUCUGGCAGUUCAGGGUUAAUUUCCGGUUUCCUUUGUGAUAAGCCAAGAAUGUAGAAAGUGUGCUGUGGACCAGGACCGCCCAGCACACAAUGGGGUCCUCUGAUGGGGGAUGCCGCGCCUUCACCCUGUGGAGCCUGCUGACCUCAUCUCCAGGGAGACAGGGCCAGACAAGGUGAGCCAUGGGACACUGUCACUGUCUGCAGAAGAUAGGAGACUAUGUGAUGUUACAUAGCACGCUUUUCCCCAUAUGAGAGAUCUAAAAAAUAACGAAUUAAUAAACAAAUAAAAGAAAAAGGAUAACAGGAAACUAGAGAAGGUAGACCAAUAUACUGAAGCACACUUCAGUAUUCUGAUGAAUAAUAUGUAUUACUAAUAAAAAAUAAGCUUAAAUAUCUCAUGAUUUCCCUAUAGGAGAAACCCAAAUUAUAAAUAAAGGACAAAAUAAAAGAUAGCUAUUAGGAAGUAGGGAGACAGAUCUUUCUCAAAGGGGAAGAGGACCAGAACAUGG
rnacentral:lncRNA from 1 species